AUCGGUUACCAACAUCAACUUCGUUAAGUCAUAGAGAAUAUGGUUAAGUAGUUGUGGCUAAUUCAAGUCAGAACACUUCAGGCAGUGCACUUUCUUAUUCUUUUGAUAUCACCUAAAGUAAGACAAGGAAGAAAAACCUUGAAAGGAAGGAGCCUCUGCAACCUGUUCAUUACUUCGAAUGGAGGUAUCGUGGCUGCUCUGAGUACUGUACAGAUGCGGUCGUUUUGGCCAGGAUACGAUCCCGCAACUUCGUGCUUAGCAGCGCAACACCAUGGCGACUAAGCAACCGCAGCUGGUAAGCUUAAUACUUAAUAAGGCGAAUUGUGCAGCUCACCUAGGAGACUGAGGAAGCGUACUUCGCGCCUUGUAUAAUGCAAGAAAAUAUGGAGAAAAUGAGCAUUAAGUAGUUAUUUUUAAUGCUCAUAAUUCAAGUUCCUUUAACACUUUCCUAAGUGUAUAUAUGUUGUUUAA